AACGAACGUUGGCGGCGUGGAUUAGGCAUGCAAGUCGCGCGAUAAAUCGCCUUCGGGCGAUGGAAAGCGGCGAAAGGGAGAGUAAUGCGUGGGUACCUGCCCUCAGGACCGGGAUAGCUGCGGGAAACUGCAGAUAAUACCGGAUGAUGUCUCCGGACCAAAGGUGUGAUUCCGCCGGAGGAGGGGCCCACGUCCUAUCAGCUAGUUGGCGAGGUAAUGGCUCACCAAGGCGACGACGGGUACGGGGUGUGAGAGCAUGCCCCCGCUCACUGGGAUUGAGACACUGGCCAGACACCUACGGGUGGCUGCAGUCGAGAAUCUUCCGCAAUGGGCGAAAGCCUGACGGAGCGACGCCGCGUGCGGGAUGAAGGCCUUCGGGUUGUAAACCGCUGUCAGUGGGGAGGAAAUGCACGGGGGUUCUCCCUCGUGUUUGACCGAUCCGCAGAGGAAGCACAGGCUAAGUUCGUGCCAGCAGCCGCCGUAAAAC
rnacentral:rRNA from 1 species